rnacentral:piRNA from 1 species
UGAGCAAGAUCAUGGUACCUGGAUUGCUGG